GCAGCAGCUCGACAAGGCUUCUUCUUCGACUUUGAACUUACUUCUGGUGCAACCUCAUCACAGUUUUUGUCAUCCAAGACACAAAUGCUGUCCUCUUUUUCUUCUUUUGAUUGCGUUUUUCCAAUGUCAAAUUCAUCACUAAGCUGUGACUCGCCUUUGAAGACAUCAUUCAAUUCAGUAAGCACGGGUGUACUUGAAGUCAAU
rnacentral:misc_RNA from 1 species